UACGAAGGGGGCUAGCGUUGCUCGGAAUCACUGGGCGUAAAGCGCACGUAGGCGGCUUUCUACGUCAGGGGUGAAAUCCUGGAGCUCAACUCCAGAACUGCCUUUGAUACUGGAGAGCUCGAGUCCGGAAGAGGUGAGUGGAACUCCGAGUGUAGAGGUGAAAUUCGUAGAUAUUCGGAAGAACACCAGUGGCGAAGGCGGCUCACUGGUCCGGUACUGACGCUGAUGUGCGAAAGCGUGGGGAGCAAACAGG
rnacentral:rRNA from 1 species